GGAAAGACAUUAAGUUCGGAGCAGCCCAGGGCUGCGGAUCUAGCCUUCCUCCCAAUAGUCUCCAGACCCACUUAGGUCGAGGCAGCCGAGCAGAGACAGAGGAACCCCAGCGCGCAGCUCUGGCCCGGCCACCCCACCAGAUGAGAAGCCUGAUGUUUAGAGGUCAAGUGAUGUACUAAAGGUUACAGAGCUGUCAAGUUGCAGAGCCAGACCUGGAAACCAGGAACCCAGUAGCUGUUGAGAGUCUGCUGUGUGCCUGGCACUGUACUGAGCACUGGAGAGGUACAGAUAAACACAACAGACACAGCCUCUGCCCUCACGAAGCCUGACAUCUAGUUAUAAUCAAUCCUGUCAAUACAGAUAAGAGGUAAGUCAAAUUUCUGCCUCACCAAAACAGUUUGGGGGUUAAACAGUAAAUGUAAUAGAGUAGAA